rnacentral:rRNA from 1 species
ACUAGCAGCCAUAUCACCCUGUAUCUCACAACUGGCAACCCACUGCAGCUAAGCAGGUGUUGAGCCUGGUCAGUACCUGGAUGGGAGACCUCCUGGGGAAAACUAAGGUUGCUGCUGGAU